UCACGGCAGAAAUAGUCAGGUUAGUGGU
rnacentral:sRNA from 1 species